UAUCUGGUUGAUCCUGCCAGUAGUCAUAUGCUUGUCUCAAAGAUUAAGCCAUGCAUGUCUAAGUAUAAGCACUUGUACUGUGAAACUGCGAAUGGCUCAUUAAAUCAGUUAUCGUUUAUUUGAUUGUACCUUUACCACUUGGAUAACCGUGGUAAUUCUAGAGCUAAUACAUGCGAAAAGUCCCGACUUCUGGAAGGGAUGUAUUUAUUAGAUUCAAAACCAAUGCGGGUUCUGCCCGGUCAUUUGGUGAUUCAUAGUAACUGUUCGAAUCGCAGGGCCUCGCGCCGGCGAUGUUUCAUUCAAAUUUCUGCCCUAUCAACUGUCGAUGGUAAGGUGUUGGCUUACCAUGGUUACAACGGGUGACGGACAAUUAGGGUUCGAUUCCGGAGAGGGAGCCUGAGAAACGGCUACCACAUCCAAGGAAGGCAGCAGGCGCGCAAAUUACCCAAUCCUGACUCAGGGAGGUAGUGACAAGAAAUAACAAU
rnacentral:ncRNA from 1 species